rnacentral:misc_RNA from 1 species
GAUGAAGAACGCAGCGAAAUGCGAUAAGUAAUGUGAAUUGCAGAAUUCAGUGAAUCAUCGAAUCUUUGAACGCACAUUGCGCCCGCCAGUAUUCUGGCGGGCAUGCCUGUUCGAGCGUCAUUUCAACCAUCAAGCCCCGGGCUUGUGUUGGGGACCUGCGGCUGCCGCAGGCCCUGAAAUGCAGUGGCGGGCUCGCUGUCACUCCGAGCGUAGUAGUUACAUCUCGCUCUGGGCGUGCUGCGGGUUCCGGCCGUUAAAAGCCUUAUUUACCCAAGGUUGACCUCGGAUCAGGUAGGAAUACCCGCUGAACUUAAGCAUAUCAAUAAGCGGAGGA